rnacentral:tRNA from 1 species
GGCGCAGUGGAAGCGUGCUGGGCCCAUAACCCAGAGGCCGAUGGAUCGAAACCAUC